UGCUUAACUUUUCAGCAGUAUGUUGCGCAAAUUCGUGUUUUUCAUUGCCAUCGCCCUGCUCAUCGCGGUAAAUUUGGCUCUUCGGGAAACUGGGAAUCGGAGCUCGCCGUGUCUUUCAGAAUGCUUGAGCGAUGGAAGCGACGACGUUGAUUGCUUGAUAAGUUGCGAAGAAAGGGGCGAUCUCCAUUAAAUUUCGGUCCCUGCAAAAAACAUGUGCGCUCGAUAUUAUCACACAUAAACAAAUAAAAGCAAUUGGAA